ACACAUAACAGCAGCAAAAAUCAACAGAAAGAAAGAAAAGAGAAGAGAGGGUGCGAAUCAGAAGAGAGAAGAAGGGGGGAGAGCGUGCCGGCGAGUCACUGCCGCUCGUCGCGCUGCCGUCGCUGCUGAUGAUGGAGGAACAAAGAGAGUGUGUCGCGGAGCAGGGAGGGCUCGCGCGAGUGAGGAGCGUCGCCACUACCGUCACGCCGUGUGUCGCCACUACCGUCGCGCCGUGCGUCGCCAACUUCGUUGCACCUCGUCAUCACCAUCGCCGUCGGACCAUCGUGGAGUCGUUGCCGUCGUACUGGCGCUGCGAGCUGCUAUCGAGCCACAAGCAACCCGAUGCGAAGAGAGAGAGACAGAACAACGCGAGGAGAGAGAAAAGGCGUUGCAUGGUGGUUUCUGCCGCUGGUGCUCUGUCUGCCAUCGCCGUGUGUGGAGCUCGCCACCGCCAGAGUCACGAGCUGAAGUGGAGAAGGAGGCCAUCUUCCCUGUGUUGCUGCAGUCACCAAUCACCGUGCCGCUACUGCUACACUUCGUUUUCUUUUUCCUUAAUUGCUGAUUAAGCCGCUGUAGCUGUGGGUUGUGAUGGUUGAUGCUUUUUAAGAAUCGUUGCUGCUGGGGUGACUCAAAUUGCUAUUGCUAAUUCUAACGUUGUUACUGUUGCUGUUGACUUGCCACAAUUCAAGUUCAGUGUCACUGCCCUAGAGUUGUUUCUGCGUUUGAUUCCAUUAAAUUCAAUGUUGCUGCGAGUGUAAUCGGAGUUGGUGAUGCUGCCAUCGUCCCGGUUGUGUUGGAAUCGCCAC